rnacentral:rRNA from 1 species
AGCGAACGCUGGCGGCAGGCCUAAAACAUGCAAGUCGAACGCCGUAGCAAUACGGAGUGGCAGACGGGUGAGUAACACGUGGGAACGUGCCUUUUGGUUCGAAACAACACAGGGAAACUUGUGCUAAUACCGGAUAAGCCCUUACGGGGAAAGAUUUAUCGCCAAAAGAUCGGCCCGCGUCUGAUUAGCUAGUUGGUGGGGUAACGGCCCACCAAGGCUACGAUCAGUAGCUGGUCUGAGAGGAUGAUCAGCCACACUGGGACUGAGACACGGCCCAGACUCCUACGGGAGGCAGCAGUUAGGAAUCUUGGACAAUGGGCGCAAGCCUGAUCCAGCCAUGCCGCGUGAGUGAUGAAGGCCUUAGGGUUGUAAAGCUCUUUCAGCGGGGAAGAUAAUGACGGUACCCGCAGAAGAAGCCCCGGCUAACUUCGUGCCAGCCGCCGCCGUAACAC